GCGCGCUGCACGGCGUCUCAUCUCAAGUCGGGCAGGUCCCCAACCCCCCACCGCACAAACCCUAGCCUCCCAAGCCCGCAGCGCCGCCCUCCUCACUCCUCCUCCAUCUUUCCUCGUCGGCCGCCGCCGCCAUUCUGCUUCGCUCCUCUCUGUCCGAUGGCCACGCCAGUGGGAGGAAGCCGCCGCACAAGAGGACAGGAGACGCCCGUUGGCGAGCUUCCGGGCAGGAAGCCGACGGGGAGCACGCCAUCAACGAGCCCCCGGGGAGGAGCUAUCGGUUGGUCCUGGGUCGUCCACCAAAGGCCGCCGGUUGCACCGUCGUGAGAGGAGCAGCAGGGGAGGAGAUGAGGAUAUGCCGCCGGCGCCGGACUCCCUCUUCCCUGGCUGCAUCUUCCCCACUGAUUGUACUUCAUGGUGCUUGCACGUCCAAGGACAAUUUAUUCCAGUGCCCGGUUCAUUGUCCGUCUCAACCAAACCUCACAUGGUGGUGCGAAUUUAUGCUAGGAAUAAAUGUUCCAGGGUUGGAGAAGAGGGGGUUGAGCAGCAGCUGAGCUUAGGUACAGAGCUAAUGUUCAGUUCAUUGUCUCAGGCAUGGAUUUACAGAUUCAAAAUUUUCUUAUACACUUGCUCGGCGCACACCAGCUAGGCAGGCCAGGGGAUGAAGGUACAAUGCAGUGAGUGCAGCAGCGGUAGUGGGGAAACCCCUCCUGGCCGAGCCUCAUCCCUAGCCUCUACCUGCAGAGGAGAACCCCAGGAAAGCUAAAAGUUUGUGGAGGAGCGCCGACACAGAGGGUAUUUCAGACUCAAGAUUGAUCUGGUAGUGCACGUGGUGUGGUGUGCCAUAAGCAAGAAUAUCUUAUCUGUGCCAUGACAAUAAGGGCUUGCUGCAGCCAGGCAGUUCUUGGGAGUAUGGUGCUUCGAUUUGGUUCCUGUGGUGGUAUCUUCCCUCCCUUCUCCCUCCGUCUAUUUCUUACUUAUGCUUUGAUGCUUUGAUAUGUUGUAUUGGCUUAAAUUAUGUACUUGGUUGAGUCCUACUUGCUUAUUGAGAUGAAUCGUUUACAAAGUUAUAGUGUUAUUUUCAGAAUUUGUAGUGACACUGUUACCUUCAGAAUUUGAGAUGAACCAUUUCCAGAGCGUAUAUGGAGAGCCUAGAAGCAGCAGGGGUUCGCGGAGCAGCAGAUGCGGUCAAUGGAGUAGCAGGAUCAAGGAGCUCAAGAUGGUUCAGGAAGAGUGCCUACAGAGAUUACAUAACUGGAUAGAGGUGCCUUAUGAUAGUAUAGCUAAAGAACAACAUGUAUGAGUAGACUGCCACCUAUGUGUUUCAUUUUUAUUUGUUGUGAUAUUUCACACACCCCAUAUUGGCACCCCCUCUAUAUUCCCACUCUUAUAGACUUGCAGAAACACAUGCUGCUUGUCUCUAUUUAUCUUGGUCUUUACAUUAUAAAUUAAAACAUAGCUGGAAAGAAUUAUGGGUCCUUUUGGCAUGAAGCUCGAGAAUGAUAAUACCACCUCAAGUGGGGAUAAAGCAGAACAAGAAAUAGAUGAGAUGUAGUUACUGAAACUAGAAAAAAAUACUCUUCUGAUUAUGCAUAUGUAAAGUCAUGAUUAUGUGUGGACCAGAUGUGUGCUCUUUUCCAUUGCAUACGAGAUUGUCGGUUAAAAAAGUUUUUUGUCUUCCAGCAAUGAGCUUUCAUUUUCAUUGUGGAGGUUUGUUCGGUUCAUCUCCUCUGGUUAUUUUUUUCAGUUUGUCUCUUCAGAAGUUUGGGUGCCUCUGUUUUGCUAAUUUUUAGUUCUCAUCAUUAAGGUUUGUAUCUUUCCUCCCCUCUCGGAUUGUUGCAUCCUUAUUGUGUCUCAUCGUUAAGGUGGCACAUACAAGUAUUAAUUUGUUUAGUUCUGCUAAAGUACCGCUGAAAAUUCAAAUUCUAUAUACUUCACUUUUGGCUAUACAGGAGAAUACAGUACACACAUUUGAUUAGUGAUUAAAUGUGAAGAGCAUUGUGCAUGUUUUUCUGAAUGUGGAUUAAUCAAAUUUUAUUGCUUUAUGGUGAGAUGAAUAUGUUGAUUAUAAUGAUAUAAUGUUAAGAGAUUUUCAAGUGUAAGCUUGUAGCAAAUUAUCUUCUAAUCCAGACUCCAUAUCAUUAUUUAUAUUGUAACACAAAUGUGUUCUAUUAUACUCCCAGCCUUGGUACAUGAAGGCAUGAUAUUACCCCUCUCCCCCUGCCCCUUCUAUGUAUUUUUGAUUUGUUUGUGUGACUAUUGAAUGGUGCUUGCAGGUCCAUGGACAUUGCCAAAAUUUUCACUUUAUUGCAGUGUCGUAUUUUCAGAUCUCAUGUUCCUCAAGGCUUGCUCUCACUGCUGCUCUAGACAGGGAACGUUGAUGAUAACAUACAGGGCCUCUCAGUCUUUAACCCCGACUAUAAAAAUCCAUUGAUGGAAGCCGGGGAGGGCCGAGAUGAACAUCCGGCUCCUAGGUCUAAGCCAUCGAGAUGAUAGAGACGACGUUUCCAUGCCAUCUACUCCAGCAGCCGGACAAGGCAUAUAAAAACCAUGGAUCCUUGCUCCCCAGGCCGCAAAUUGAUCGCAGUGAUGUCUACGACCUCCUCCUAGAUGUAUUAAUCUCAAUCUCAUGUUUGGUUUUCUUCCCUUUUCUCUUCUAAUGAUGUAAUUUCUUUUACUAAGAUAACACCAUGUUUGUUGUAAUGCCUUAUUUGAUGUAAGAUCCCUUUUCUACUUUGAAUGAAUUUACUGCAUAUAUUUCUUAUUUAGUUUAGUUCAUCAUUCAGAGACGAUGGAAUAUUUUUGUACU